rnacentral:lncRNA from 1 species
UGCAUGUUUGGAUACCAAUUUGUUUCACAAUUGAUAUGAUUCUGACAAAAAUUCAGAUAGCAUUGUUGAAUCCAAUCCCAGCAAAAAGGGAAGGAAAGAAUAAUAAGAAUAAAAACAAGCCAAAGAAAGGGAAAGAGGGUAAGACAAAUCGGUAGCCAGCUUUUUCCAUUUCCGCUUGGUCGAUGAUUUAGUAUUUGAACGCAUCUCGAAAUCAGUUGAGUGUCUCAACUGAUUGUCGAGUCGAGCUUGAGCUCAGCUUAUACUUCAAUCAAUUGGCUUACAAGGCUUAUUUUUAGCUAAGUUGAAUCCAAGCUUGAGCUUAGAUUGGCCUACUGGGGUAACUGUAAAGCUCCUAUUGAGCCAUUUUGAGUUUUGUUAAACAUUUUCUAAUAGAAUCAAAUAAAUUUCAAGAUGACAUGUGUCUAUUGUUCUGUUUUUAUGAUUUUUUUCUUCAAAAGCUAUUAAUUUUAUUUCAUUAUAUCCAACACUCCAGAGUCCAGCUUUAUUGCAGGUUGUUUAUUGUUUUAACUCCAUAGAUUAAUCAUUGGUUGCAGUGAGUAUGAUUCUAAAGCCAUGGCAAAGAUAAGGGAGCAUUUGAAGAGCAUGGAGGCGAGGCGGCUUCAACUAGAAGCGCUAACGAGCUUGCU